rnacentral:lncRNA from 1 species
AAUAUCACCAGUGGGAAUCUACUGUGGAAAAUUGAGUACAACACUAUCAUCAUAUGAUUUGUUUUGCUCAUAUUUGGCUGUGCCAUUGGCUGCAGAGCCAGGCAGUGAACUCCACACAAUGAGGAGCCUGUGAAAACGCAGAGAAGGCAAGAAAGGAUGCAAACAUUUAGGCAGCAUCAGAUGGUAGCUGGCUUGUGGUUUACCUGGCCUUUGGUUAGAUAACUGUGCCUGAUCCCCAUGGCCAGGAAGGAAGGAGCUGAAGAAUUCACAUUUGGGCUGAUGGGCCUGGGGUAGGGAUGACCAACAGACCACAUGCUUCUUGUCUCUUCUACUCCCUGAUCCUCUGAUAGACAGGGCUAAGUGAUCAUCCACUCCUCCCACCCUCCAGCCUCCGAGUGGGCCACUUUUCAAGCAUGGAAUUC